CAUCCUCGCUCCCCAAACCGUCUCAUUUACAUAGCGCCACGCAUUCUGGGAAGCAGCGUUUGAGCACCUGGCAAGCUGUUAAAGGGCCCAGGACCCCCUUUUUCCAAAAUGAAAAGUCAGCUUUUUAAGAGGAGAGAUUCAUGAUUCGGCAUUCAGAAGCGCCUUCUCGGAAAAUUCCGAAUUCUCUUUCUGCGGAGGAGUGGUGAGUGGGUUCCUGUUAGAGUCUGAUUCACCCUGGCCCCAAAGGCUCUGAGCAGGCGGCUAUAGGGCUGGUGCGACACCUGCUGUUCUUUUAUGGAAUUGCGUAGGCCGAUGGAGCUCCGCGUUCAUUCAAACGUUUAUUGAGCGUCUACUGAGUCCCAGGAACUGUCUCGGUGCUGGUGACGACAGACAUCCUGUCCCGAUUGAGUUUAAACACUAGACAUAACCAAUUUCUGCACUUGCGUUUUAUGGUUGGAGAAACUGAGACAGACUCAGAAACGGAUAGUACCAUAUUCCGGUUAAAACAGCCCAUCCACUUAGGGAAAUCGAACUUGUGUUACAAUUUUUAUUACAAAAAAGGUGAUUCUUUUUUCUUAAAUUUUUACAUAUUUAGGAGGUACAGGUGCCGAUUUCUACAUGCAUAUGUUGAUUGCAUCGUGGUGAAAUCUGGGCUUUUAGGUGUACUCAUCACGAAAAAUUAUUCAAUAUUCUAAGUCAGUGAUUCUUUGACAAUACCAUUCUCCUGCAUGAAACUCUCCCAUGACUUCCAUUUCAGAGUAAAAGUCAAAGUACUCACCCUGCUUUACAAAUCCCUGUAAUCCAGCCCCUUUGGUCCCUCUGACCCUGUCUCACAUACUCCUCUUCCCUUGGAUAUUAUUGGAUUUAGGCACACAGAUGUCUUGCUGCACACAUGGAUCAUGCUACCACCACAGGGACUUUGUGCUUGCCGAUCCCCUAGCCUGGAUCUCCUCUUCACAUGUUCCCAUGGCUCAUCGCCUCCCUUCACUCUGUCAUCUGAUCAAAUGUCAAUACCAAAAACUCACUGAGUGACCAGCACUCAGUGGGGCCUUCCCUGAUCCCAGUUUAAAAUAGCGAGUGGCGGCCGGGCGCGGUAGCUCACGCCUGUAACCCCAGCACUUUGGGAUGCCAAAGCGGGUGGAUCACGAGAUCAGGAGAUGGAGACCAUCCUGGCUAACACGGUGAAACCUUGUCUCUACUAAAAAUACAAAACAUUAGCUGGGCGUGGUGGCGGGCGCCUGUAGUCCCAGCUACUCGGGAGCCUGAGGCAGGAGAAUGGAGUGAACCCGGGAGGCGGAGCUUGCAGUGAGCUGAGAUUGCUCCACUGCACUCCAGCCUGGGGGACAGAGCGAGGCUCCGUCUCAAUAAAUAAUAAAUAAAUAAAAUAGCUAGUGGCUGGGAUCGGUGGCUCAGGGCCUGUAAUCCCAGAACUUUGGGAGGCCGAGGCGGGUGGAUCACCUGAGGUCAGGAGUUCGAGGCCAGCCUGGCCAACAUGGUGAAACCCCGUCUCCACGAAUGAUACAAAAAUUAGUCAGGCAUAGUGGCUCACGCCUGUAAUCCCAGCUACUCGGGAGUUUGAGGCAGGAGAACCGCUUGAACCGGGGAGGCAGAGGUUGCAGUGAGCUGAGAUGGUGCCAUUGUACUCCAGCCUUGGUGAAAAGAGCAAAACUCCAUCUCCAAAUAAAAGUAAUAAUAAUAAUAAAUAAAAUAAAAAUUUUUAAAAAGCGAGCUCUGUCACUCUAUCCCCUUACCCUGCUAGACAUUUCCCCACCACUCUGAUCACCACCUGCCAUUUUCUGUGUCUAUUUGCUUACCGUCUGUCUGCUUCUGUAGAAUAUCAGCACCAUGAAACUAUGCACUUUAUUUUUGAUCAUUGCUGUAUCUCUAGUGCCUAAAAAGUGCUUGAGAACAUAGCAGAUGUUCAGUAAAUGUUUGUGGAAUGAAUAAAAGAAUAUCAUCACUGUCUUUUUUUCAUUCUUCUUCCAGACAGGAUCUUACUUUGUCACCCAGGCUGGAAUGCAGUGGCGCAAAAACGGCUCACUGCAGCCUCGACCUCCCAAGCUCAAGUGAUCCUCUUGCCUCAGCCUCCCUGGGAUGACAGGCAUAUACCAUCACGCCCAGCUAAUUUUAAUUUUUUUUGUAGAAACAGGGGCCUCACUUUGUUGCCCAGACUGGCCUCGAACUCCUGGCCUCAAGUGAUGCUUCUGCCUUGGGCUCCUAAAGUGCUGGAAUUUCACGCGUGAGCCACAGCACCUGGCCUCACUAUCCUUCUUUCAGCCUCAGUUUUCUCAUUUGUAUAACCAGACUAGUACAACUGAUCUCACUGGAGAAAUCAUGAUAUAAAAUUCUGACACUGGCUGAGGCAACUGGGAGGAGCUCAGUAAAGGCUGUUUCUGCUGGGCACGGUGGCUCACACAUGUAAUCCCAGCACUUUGGGAGGCCAAGGUGGGUGGAUCACAGGAGAUUAGAAGUUCCAGACCAUCUGGCAAGCAUGGUAAAACCCCAUCUCUACUAACAAUUCAAAAAGUAGCCAGGCAUGGUGGCUCACACCUGUGAUCCCAGCUACUCGGGAGGCUAAGGCAGGAGAAUCCCUUGAACCCAGGAGGCUGAGGUUGCAGUGAGCCAAGAUUGUGCCACUGCACUCCAUCCUGGGCGACAGAGCAAGACUCUGUCAAAAAAAAAAAAAAAAGUUUUUUUUUUUUUGGCUGGAAUUACAGGCGCCUGCCCCCACACCUGGCUAAUUUUUGUUUUUUGUUUUUUUAGGAGAGACGGGGUUUCACCAUGUUCACCAGACUGGUCUUGAACUCCUGACCUCAGGCUGGAGUGCAGCGGCAUGAUCCUGGCUCACUGCAACCUCUGCCUCCUGGGUUCAAGUGAUUCUCCUGCCUCAGGCUCCCGAGUAGCUGGGAUUACAGGUAUGCGCCGCCACACCCA
rnacentral:lncRNA from 1 species